UGUGCCUGUAGUCCCAGCUACUCGGGAGACUGAGGCAAGAGAACUGCUUGAACCCGGGAGGUGGAGGUUGCAGUGAGCCAACAUUGCACCACUGCAGUCCGGCCUGGGCAACAGAG
rnacentral:snoRNA from 1 species